AUUUAUUUUUGAGAAUAAUUUCAAAUGUAAUUUAUUUAUGUGAUGACAAAGCUGGAUUUUCAGUAACAUUACCCAAGUUUUCAGUGUCACAUGAUCCUUCAGAAAUUAUUCUAAUAUGCUAAUCUAAUGGCCAAGAAACACGUAUUAUUAUUAUUAUUAUUAUUAUUAUUAUUAUUAAUGUUAAAAAACAUUGUGAUACACAACCAUUCAGUCGUUUGGGGUAAGAAACCAUUCAAAUAAAUAAUAACGAUAAUAUUUUAUUAAUCAAGGAUUCAUUAAAUUGUCCAUAAACAUGUUUAUAAUGUUACUGUAUCAAACAAUCUGGAAAAAAAGUAUCACGAUUUCCACACAAAAAUAUUAAGCAGCAAAAACAACACUGAUGAGAUAAGGACCAUUAUUAAUAAUUGAGCACCAAAUCAGCACAUUAGAAAAAUAUAAAGUAUUAUGUGACACUAAAGAAACUUACUGUUUGUUGAUUUGUUUAAUCAUAUUGUGGUAUUACAAAAAGCACAAGCAAUAUAAAUUAUAUUUUGAUUAUGACUCAUUCAUGUUCAAGAUAUUGAAUCUGCUCAGAUUGAAAUAAAGGUCAUUGAGGGUUGAAAGGCUGGAAAUGACUGUCUCAAGCAAAUGCACGAGGUCAUGUCUAUUGAGGAGGUGGAGAGAAUACUGGAGGAGACGCAGGAGAACAUUGAGUAUCAGAAAGGUUACAAUGCUUUUGGGAAACACACCAUUGGCCAUAUUGCUCUUUCUACAGACUCCUGAAGAUGCGGAGCGCUGCCUUCAGAGCUGGAGAUGAGGUAGGCCUGAGAACAGCCAGGGCCAACCUAUCCCGCGGCAUCAGAGAGGCUAAGAGACAGCACUCCAGGAGGAUAGCCCAUCAAUUCAGUGACAGCAGAGACACUAGGAACCUGU